UUUACUUCGAGAGAAAAAAGCCUAAAACACAAAUCCUUCUCCUUCACGGUCACUCACGCACGGCUCCUUCUCCUUCACGGCGGCUCCUUCUCCUUCACGGUCACUCACGGCGGCUCCUUCACGCACGGCUCCUUCUCCUUCAGGGUCACUCACGGCGACGCAGCUCGGCUCAUCACUGGCCUCCUCUGCUCACGGCGCCGACCCAGGAAGUAUUAUUACAAGAAAAAUGAUGUCCGGAUGUUCAAGCACUUCAUUAGUGGCAUCUCCUAAAAAUCAAUCAAUAAAAGAAGUAACCUAAAAGUCUCUAAUGACAUUGUCCUCUCCAACUCAAGCAAUAGAAGAAGCAAUUAGAAAGUCUCCACAGAAAUCAUCUUCUCUUCCAAUACAUGCAAGAGAAAGAGACAUGAAAAAUAUUCAUUGAAACCAUCAUCGCUAUUGUCUAAGGUUUGGAUUUAUGAAGCAAUAUAUUUACUUGGAAAUUUAUUUGCAAACCAAAAAGAAGGAAAUGCAACUCCUCGUUGCUUACAUUGGGAAGCAAAAGAGCCCAAAUACAAAGAAGAGAUUAGUCAGGCAUUGAAGCAUAUUCAUAGAAAAAUUGACGUACAUAAUAUCCUCCAUGCAUCUGAGUUAGAGAAGUGUCAACCAUACAUGAAGGAUUUUGAGUUAUUGAAUGAUAAAGUCGAUGACUUGAUUGAUACCUUUGUUAAAAUCUUAAGGUUUGCAAUCCUGUUUUGAGUGAAUACAAUUAAUCUAGUGUACGUACCAGGAUUAGACUUUUGGACCAUGUACAAGUAAGAGGGAUACACGAGGAAGUGGUAAAUGGCUAUCUUCAAGAGUGUGAGGUGCAGAACUAGCAUCAAGAACAUUACAUAUGUAUGCAUCGUCAAAGUAAUCAUCAAAAGUUUUAUUUUCAGGACAUGGGACAUUCAAAUUUACCUCAACAAAACCAUCAUCAAUAUUGUUUCUUUCCCCCUCUUCAUCGUCACUAUCUUUGUCAUCAUCAUCAUCGUUGUCGUUGUCGUUGUCAUCAUCUAAAUCAACAUUGUUAUCAUUGUUUAAACCAGUAUCAUCAAAAUCAUCAUCAAUAGAAAUAUUUGCAAUAGAAUCAACAUUUGUAAUAGAAUCAAUAUUAGUAACAAGUUUAUCCUUAAAGAGCA